rnacentral:tRNA from 1 species
UCUGUUGUAGUCUAGUUGGUUAGGAUACUCGGCUCUCACCCGAGAGACCCGGGACGUUCAAGUCACGAAAACGAAA